UGAGGUCAGCUGCUUUGACAAUGUUGCACUACUGUACCAUCCAUUCUAGCAGUGCAAUAGUAUUGUCAUAGCAUUUGGCCUAAGC
rnacentral:pre_miRNA from 1 species